rnacentral:rRNA from 1 species
UACGUAGGGUGCGAGCGUUGUCCGGAAUUACUGGGCGUAAAGAGUUCGUAGGCGGUUUGUCGCGUCGUUCGUGAAAACUUGGGGCUUAACUCCAAGCGUGCGGGCGAUACGGGCAGACUUGAGUACUACAGGGGAGACUGGAAUUCCUGGUGUAGCGGUGAAAUGCGCAGAUAUCAGGAGGAACACCGGUGGCGAAGGCGGGUCUCUGGGUAGUAACUGACGCUGAGGAACGAAGGCGUGGGUAGCGAACAGG